AUCAUUGGUUGUUAUGACGAAUGGAGAUUUACCAAAUGCAGAAGUGAGCCCGUACUGCAUAGUGCUGGUGGAGAAGAGCUUUGCUUUGCACUUGAGAUCCCAAAACAUGCUUCUGAAAGACAAUUCCUGUAUCUUCACGGGUAUGUAGAUUUAGACAUAACUUGUCAUAAGUCAAAAAGCAACACAUUGUGGACAAUGAAAUAAAGAACUAACUUGAAAAUCUCUGGACCUAAAACCCCCAUCUGAUUUUGAUUUAAAGAUCCGUUCAUACCUCCAAGGCUUGUAAAGGUUAGAAUUUUCAUCUCAGGAAGAGAGAGUCAAUCAAAAAAAAAGGUAAUG